CCUACGGGAGGCAGCAGUGGGGAAUAUUGGGCAAUGGGCGCAAGCCUGACCCAGCAACGCCGCGUGAAGGAAGAAGGCUUUCGGGUUGUAAACUUCUUUUCUCAGGGACGAAGAAAGUGACGGUACCGGAGGAAUAAGCCACGGCUAACUACGUGCCAGCAGCCGCGGUAAUACGUAGGUGGCAAGCGUUAUCCGGAUUUACUGGGUGUAAAGGGCGUGUAGGCGGGGAAGCAAGUCAGAUGUGAAAACCAGGGGCUCAACCUGUGGCCUGCAUUUGAAACUGUUUUUCUUGAGUACUGGAGAGGCAGACGGAAUUCCUAGUGUAGCGGUGAAAUGCGUAGAUAUUAGGAGGAACACCAGUGGCGAAGGCGGUCUGCUGGACAGCAACUGACGCUGAGGCGCGAAAGCGUGGGGAGCAAACAGGAUUAGAUACCCUUGUAGUC
rnacentral:rRNA from 1 species